rnacentral:rRNA from 1 species
GACGAACGCUGGCGGCGUGCUUAACACAUGCAAGUCGAACGGAAAGGCCCUGCUUUUGUGGGGUGCUCGAGUGGCGAACGGGUGAGUAACACGUGAGUAACCUGCCCUUGACUUUGGGAUAACUUCAGGAAACUGGGGCUAAUACCGGAUAGGAGCUCCUGCUGCAUGGUGGGGGUUGGAAGGUUUCGGCGGUUGGGAAUGGACUCGCGGCUUAUCAGCUUGUUGGUGGGGUAGUGGCUUACCAAGGCUUUGACGGGUAGCCGGCCUGAGAGGGUGACCGGCCACAUUGGGACUGAGAUACGGCCCAGACUCCUACGGGAGGCAGCAGUGGGGAAUAUUGCACAAUGGGCGGAAGCCUGAUGCAGCAACGCCGCGUGCGGGAUGACGGCCUUCGGGUUGUGAACCGCUUUCGCCUGUGACGAAGCGUGAGUGACGGUAAUGGGUAAAGAAGCACCGGCUAACUACGUGCCAGCCGCCGCCGUAA